rnacentral:pre_miRNA from 1 species
CCUUGGAUAAGGCAUUUUAUUUUGUGAAUUUUGCCAAAAUAAACACCUUUUAUCCUUGGUG